GAACCAGAAGGUCUACGCUGUGUGUGACUCAAAGAUCAUCAAGCCAGCCUUUGAGGGCCAAGGCAGCUCCAUGCCUGUCAUCGAAGCCAAUUGCACCGGCAUUGUUUCAACUGAUCAGAUGGACGGAGCUGGAGGUUCAGCUUGGAGUCCUG